rnacentral:rRNA from 1 species
GGGUCAUUAGGUUGGUCGUGCCACCGGUACGUACUGGUCUCACUGAUUCCUCCUUCCUGAAGAACCGUAAUGCCAUUAAUUUGGUGUUGCGGGGAAACAGGACUGUUACUUUGAAAAAAUUAGAGUGUUUAAAGCAAGUUAACGCUUGAAUACAUUAGCAUGGAAUAAUGAAAUAGGACGAUCGAUCCUAUUUUGUUGGUUUCUAGGAUUGACGUA